rnacentral:ribozyme from 1 species
AAUUGCGGUCUCUUCAAGGGUUUGAAUGGUUCCAGGUGUGUAUACAAGACUGUUUGGGAGGGAAUGGAGGUAAGAAAGGAAAAACAUGAGAAAAAGG